rnacentral:rRNA from 1 species
ACGGCUCAGUAACACGUGGAUAACCUGCCCAAGGGUCCGGGAUAACCCCGGGAAACUGGGGAUAAUACCGGAUGGAUCACUACUGCUGGAAUGCUUGGUGGUCGAAAGGUAACGCCCUUGGAUGGGUCUGCGGCGGAUUAGGUUGACGCCGGUGUAACGUACCGGCGUGCCUGUAAUCCGUACGGGUUGUGGGAGCAAGAGCCCGGAGAUGGAUUCUGAGACACGAAUCCAGGCCCUACGGGGCGCAGCAGGCGCGAAAACUCUACAAUGCAGGCAACUGCGAUAGGGGGACAUCGAGUGGCGUCCACCUUGGGUGCCUGUCCAACCGUCUAAAAAACGGUUGUUAGCAAGGGCCGGGUAAGACCGGUGCCAGCCGCCGCGGUAAUACCGGCGGCUCGAGUGGUGGCCGAUAUUAUUGAGUCUAAAGGGUCCGUAGCCGGCUUUGCAAGUCCCCUGGGAAAUCCAGCGGCUUAACCGUUGGGCUUCCAUGGGAUACUACAUUGCUUGGGACUGGGAGAGGUAGGAGGUACUCGGGGGGUAGGGGUGAAAUCCUGUAAUCCUCCGGGGACCACCGGUGGCGAAGGCGUCCUACCAGAACAGGUCCGACGGUGAGGGACGAAAGCUAGGGGCACGAACCGGAUUAGAUACCCGGGUAGUCCUAGCCGUAAACGAUGCCCGCUAGGUGUCACGACGGUCGUGAAUCGUCGUGGUGCCGUAGGGAAGCCGCGAAGCGGGCCACUUGGGAAGUACGACCGCAAGGUUGAAACUUAAAGGAAUUGGCGGGGGAGCAC